GGGGGUAUGGCUGAUAGUGAGGGGUAUGGCUGAUAGUGAGGGUUAGGGCUGAUAGUGAGGGGUAUUGCUAAUUGUGAGGGGGUAUGGCUGAUAGUGAGGGGUAUGACUGAUAGUGAGGGAUAUGGCUGAUAGUGAGGGGUAUUGCUAAUUGUGAGGGGGGUAUGGCUGAUAGUGAGGGAAAUGGCUGAUAGUGAGGGAUAUUGCUAAU